AAGCCUGAUCCAGCCAUGCCGCGUGCAGGAUGAAGGCCUUCGGGUUGUAAACUGCUUUUGUACGGAACGAAAAGACUNUGGUUAAUACCUGGGGUUCAUGACGGUACCGUAAGAAUAAGCACCGGCUAACUACGUGCCAGCAGCCGCGGUAAUACGUAGGGUGCAAGCGUUAAUCGGAAUUACUGGGCGUAAAGCGUGCGCAGGCGGUUAUAUAAGACAGAUGUGAAAUCCCCGGGCUCAACCUGGGAACUGCAUUUGUGACUGUAUAGCUAGAGUACGGUAGAGGGGGAUGGAAUUCCGCGUGUAGCAGUGAAAUGCGUAGAUAUGCGGAGGAACACCGAUGGCGAAGGCAAUCCCCUGGACCUGUACUGACGCUCAUGCACGAAAGCGUGGGGAGCAAACAGGAUUAGAUACCCUGGUAGUCCACGCCCUAAACGAUGUCAACUGGUUGUUGGGUCUUCACUGACUCAGUAACGAAGCUAACGCGUGA
rnacentral:rRNA from 1 species